UCGGCGUUUUCAAGAUCAGUAUCGAUCCGAUAUUCGAGCAUACAGGUAACCAUCCCGAAAAUCGUGCAGGAAGGAUGUUUUUCACCAGGAUCUUCGAGAGCUCCCCCAGCUUCCUCCGCCAGAAAGUCCGUCGUAACGACAUGAUCGGUACAAUUAGAGAAAUGAACGAGGUGCUGUGUCUGUUCGUCAUGGCGACGUCUAUAUUUAGACUCACCAAGGAUUUUCAGUGAAACUGCGACCGGGACGGGGUGCUGUGGAUGAUGGGUAGCCGUUUGGGAUGGUGCCGAAGGGGUCCGAAGCAGGUUUCAUCUAGAGGAGUAAUUGAUCUUGUUUUCUCCAACAAAGACAAUAGAACAACCUUAAUGGACGGUUGUACAAGAUAGAAGGCAUCUCAAUACUUCUAGGUACUGUUAAAGUGGAAAGUAAAUGAAAAAAUCGACUGGCUGAUAUAAAUAUGUAGUGAUUCUAGUAGUUAUAGUUCAACCAAUAAAAUACUGUCGAAAUUA